CAAAAUUAGAAUCCAAGUCUUUGAGGAUGAGGCUGGGAAAUCUGCAUUUUUAACAAGCAAGUCUGGUUAUUUGUUAAGCAGUCCAAAGUUUGAGAAGCACUGAUCGACGUUAGUGAGGUCCUCCCUUCCUAGGUUGAUUUGAAUACACAAUACCAGAGGGCGCGGUGAGAUGACUCACAGGACAAGUGGCUGCAGCUUUGGGAACUAUCAGCGAUGACAAAUAAGAGAGAUGGAUAUACAAGCAAAUGUCCUAAUGACUAGAAGCAGAAGGAGAGAAAAAGUAAGAUAAAGAGAAGUGUGGAGACUAUAUGAAGAAAAGAGCUGACAGUACAGAUGCUUUAACCCAUGAAUCUUUUAUUUUUUUCAUAUACACCUUGUUAUUGAAAAUGAAUGGCAUGAACUUAUGUUACCCGAGAACAGUAUGGAGUGUGAAACCAGAGGGAGAAUUUGCAAAUAUGUCUUUCUUAAAGAGGAUUCUCUUCUCUUACUGGAAAUAUUAUUUAAACACCUACCUACUGCUGACUAUCAAAUUCAAAUGUGUUUUUUAUGAACAUCUUCACAACCCACCUCAACAAACAGAUUCAAGAAAGAAUUAAAGGAAAGAAUGUGUCUAAGUUUCUCUCCAUUAAUGAAGGGGAAAGUCAGGCUUUUGUUAUUUUUCCAGGGAAGUAUAAUUCAUGUCACUGGAGGAAACUACUGCUAACAGUGUGAGUAUUUCAUUCUUUUCCUCAUUCUCUCUUUCUCUCUCUUUCUCUCUUUACACACACACACACACACACACACACACACACAUACACACACCGCAGCAUCUAAAUAGAAUUAAUUCCUUACUUUGAUUUUCACAUUCAUUCAUUUUUCCCCCUUAUGAACAGUAGUCCAGCACCUCCUACCUAGCAAGAAAUUCUGAUCUGAGAAUUGAGGAUACCAUACUGAAGGAAACAUGACUAUCACACUCAAGAUUUCCUAAGCUUUUUGUAAACAGGGAUAUAGUAUGUUUGGGUGUAUGUAUGCCUGUGAUUAUCAUCUGCAUAGAAUAGUUUUUUGCACAUAAAUGUUCCUUGGUAACUACUAGUGAAUUGUUUGUUUCAUUGGUUUUAUUUAUUCAUUUAUUAUGUGUUUUUUUCCAGGGAAAAGGUUAGUGAUUAUAAAACAAAAUACAUCGGAGAUAUUCUUAUCCUUAGUAAAAAUUCUCAAAAUUAAAUAUUAUACCACAUAUAUUUUCUUAUUAAUUUAAUAAAUAUAUAUCGAGCCACUAUUAUGUGUUAAGCACUUACACUUUAUAGACUAUGAUAAAGAACAUUUGUGCCCAUGCACACCACAGACUCGGUUCUCGGUUCCCUGGAGAAGAUGUUAUGCUUGAUGAUUCCAUUUUCCUUUCUGAAUGCAAACUAAGAAUAACAUAGAGUGCAGUAGUAAUGAAUAACCCUGUCAAAGGGCCAAAGAACAAUGAUGUUAGGUGCUUAAGUAUUUUAAGCAGCUGCCAAAUACUAGAAAAUGUACCCAGCAAUUGAUUGAUCACUUUGUGAAAACAAAAACAAACAAAACCAAAAGUUAAAUUAAGGGAAAAAGGUUUUUGCACCUUCAGAUAUUACCUAUCUGAAUCUACUCCAUUAUAUGCUCCCUUGCUUAUAAUUGUAGUGUGGUUAUAUUUAAGGUUUUACUUAUUGCUUUUGGCUUAUUUCCCCACUGACAGGUUAAUAUUGAUUCAGAACAUGUUAAUCUCAAUGAAUAUAUUUCAUUUCCUUUUUUUCUCUUUUUAUAGACAAAAUUUGACACCAUGUAACAAAAAUACUCUUUCCUCCCUCAAAAUCUAGGAACAACAGGAGACAGAUGGGGGCUAGCCCCUAAAAAAUUGUAUCAAUCAAUGCACAGCCAUGUAAGGAAACUACAUUUUGUCAAGCUGCUGAUCAUAAGCAGGAUUAUCUCAGGGGCAGUAGAAUUUGGAAACAGACCAUAUCUUGGCUCUUACCAGUGACAGAGCGAAUCCUUUGAGGCUCUGAGCUCAUGCUAAGUAAUUUCCAAUUAACUCAUUACAAUAAAUGAAUGUUUUUGUCUUUUUCAUAUAAGAGCUGAGGCCUUCAUGUCAUGGCUUCUUUUUACAAGCUUCUGGUUAUUUCAGUCCCUUUGUUGGUGUCUUACCUUAGAUUUCAAAUCUAGCUGUAUGUGUUAGACACAUCAUCAAAUAUUUUAAAAAAUCAAUUGGGAAUGGCUAAUAAAUACUUUUAGCAACAUAAAAUAGCAAUUAUAAAAUUAUGUCAAUUAAAAUUACAGAAAUCAAAUUAAAAAUUACUUUUAACACAUUACAGAAUUGAGGAUCGCCUGGGUGGUUCAGUCUGUUAAGCGUCCAACUUUGGCUCAAGUCAUGAUCUUACAGUUCAUGGUUCAAGCCCAGCAUAGGGCUGGUGCUGCCAGCUCCAGGCUUCUGAUUCUGUGUCUCCCUCUCUCUCUGC